GGUUGUUGUUGUUGUUACACACCAAAAUGCCAAGACAAAUUCUAGAAGAACAUCUAAUGAAGCAAUAGAAGCCAUAAAUUAUUUUCAUCAACAAUAAGUGAAUUUUAGGGGGGAAAGAGAAGGGAAAAUAAUAAAGAAGAAAGAAUGGACAAAGGAAUUUUUACUUUCAUCAGGAAUUUUCUUAUUUAGUUUGCACUAUGAAUUUUUCCCAUUUAGGUCAUAGCCCUAGUUGGAAAAGGAAAUUAUUUUAUAGAAGUAUUUAGGUAACCUAGUUAUUUUCAAGGUUUUUAUAAUGGAUUUAUAGGCAAUUGAUUUGAUUUGAAAGGCCUGUAUGCUGCUAAGUGUCUCCGUCCUCUUUCUCUUGUUCUUUUCAUUUUCUUUCCUUGAAGAGGUUCUUGUUAGGGUGACCUAAGUUACUAUUCACAGGACCUCCAAGCAACCACCAAUUCUCUCUCCCUUUUUUUUUCUCAUUCUAAUAAGCUCUAAUUCAACUUCCUAACCAAAAACUCACUGGUUCUUUGAAAUCAAACCCUAAGACUCAUCAACUGCUAGAAAAUUUUCCCCUUAAAAGCUUUUGCAGGCGCAUUGCUCAACCUUGUUCUACAUCAUUUGAGAUUUCUCAAAUUGUGGAAUAGUUCACUGGCAGACUAUUGAACAAGGAAUAGUAGCUUCAUAAAGGCUUUAGCUAAUCGAAAAGUAAAUGUAUGCCCUCCUAAGCAAAAGGAAGUUCCACACAGAAAGUUCAAAGUUAUUAAUUCUGUUGAUUUGUGAUAGAAAUGAAGUUUUUU
rnacentral:misc_RNA from 1 species